rnacentral:rRNA from 1 species
AUUGAACGCUGGCGGCAUGCCUAACACAUGCAAGUCGAACGAGUGGCGGACGGGAGGGUAAGGUAUGGGAAACUUCCCGAUGGAGGGGGAUAACUACUGGAAACGGUAGCUAAUAACGCAUACCAUCGGAGGUGCCCAGAUGGGAUUAGCGAGUAGGUGGGGUACCGGCUAACCAAGGCGACGAUCCGUAGCUGGUCUGAGAGGAUGACCAGCCACACUGGAACUGAGACACGGUCCAGACUCCUACGGGAGGCAGCAGUGGGGAAUAUUGCACAAUGGGCGAAAGCCUGAUGCAGCCAUCCCGCGUGUAUGAAGAAGGCCUUCGGGUUGUAAAGUACUUUCAGCGAGGAGGCGUUACUCGCAGAAGAAGCACCGGCUAACUCCGUGCCAGCAGCCGCGGUAAUAC